rnacentral:rRNA from 1 species
GUGACCUCAAAUCAGGUAGGACUACCCGCUGAACUUAAGCAUAUCAUUAAGCGGAGAAAAGAACUACAGGAUUCCCUAGUAACUGCGAG